rnacentral:lncRNA from 1 species
CAGACCCCGCAGCAUCCACCGCCACAAGAGGCGACUGCAGAGCUCUUGCUAUCAUCAACACCAACAAGAAAGCGGCAUUCGCCCAUAGAUGGGUCAAGGUAUGUUAUCAUCCCAAGCCCACCAAAAUCACAACUCUUUGGGUCCUGCUUCUGCUGCUGAUAGUAGCUGUUGAAAGCAUAUGAAACAUUGCCCUUCUCCCCGAUGCCAUAGCAUGAACCUCCGUAGUACAGAGUGGUACAAUCCGCCAUGCUGCACGCAAGCUUCAUGUGAUCUGAAACACUGUCAAGAUCCCGAGCAGGGUUUGCGACACACCAACGUGAUGGAAGGUACGGAACCUCUUUGGCAUUCUUCAGUACUG